rnacentral:rRNA from 1 species
GACGAACGCUGGCGGCGUGCCUAAUACAUGCCAGUUGAGCGAUGAAGAUUGGUGCUUGCCCCAAUUUGAAGAGCAGCGAACGGGUGAGUAACGCGUGGGGAAUCUGCCUUUGAGCGGGGGACAACAUUUGGAAACGAAUGCUAAUACCGCAUAACAACUUUAAACAUAAGUUUUAAGUUUGAAAGAUGCAAUUGCAUCACUCAAAGAUGAUCCCGCGUUGUAUUAGCUAGUUGGUGAGGUAAAGGCUCACCAAGGCGAUGAUACAUAGCCGACCUGAGAGGGUGGUCGGCCACAAUGGGACUGGGGCACGGCCCAAACUCCUUCGGGGAGGAGCAGGAGGGGAUCUUCGGCAAUGGACGGAAGGCUGACCGAGCAACGCCGGGGGAGUGAAGAAGGGUUUCGGGUCGGAAAACUCUGUUGGUAGGGAAGAACGUUGGUGAGGGUGGAAAGCUCAUCAAGUGACGGUAACUACACAGAAAGGGACGGCUAACUACGUG